rnacentral:rRNA from 1 species
AUUGAACGCUGGCGGCAUGCCUUACACAUGCAAGUCGAGCGGCAGCGCGGGGGCAACCCUGGCGGCGAGCGGCGAACGGGUGAGUAAUACAUCGGAACGUGUCCUGUAGUGGGGGAUAACCAGUCGAAAGAUUGGCUAAUACCGCAUACGAUCUACGGAUGAAAGCGGGGGACCGCAAGGCCUCGCGCUAUUGGAGCGGCCGAUGUCGGAUUAGCUAGUUGGCGGGGUAAAAGCCCACCAAGGCGACGAUCCGUAGCUGGUCUGAGAGGACGGUCAGCCACACUUGAACUGAGACACGGUCCAGACUCGUACGGGAGGCAGCAGUGGGGAAUUUUGGACAAUGGGCGCAAGCCUGAUCCAGCCAUGCCGCGUGAGUGAAGAAGGCCUUCGGGUUGUAAAGCUCUUUCGGCGGGGACGAAACGGUCCGGGUUAACAACCCGGACUAAUGACGGUACUCGCAGAAGAAGCACCGGCUAACUACGUGCCAGCCGCCGCGGUAA